UGGUUGUUUAAUUUAACCGCUACCACGUCCAUUCCAAACGACAAUUUGAUAUUUUCGCCGGGAAAUAUUUUAACGAUAGACUUGGUUAACCUUACAGAACCAUGGUCAUCUGGAACUGACAAAUAUACUGUUGGUAUCGUCUUGAUCAAGGAGUUGGAUCGUGAUUUUACUCCUAAUCCUAAAUUAUUACAAUUUGAUGUUAAAGAUAGUGGAGAUACGGUAUCCCGUUCUUGUGAAUUGAUAGUUCUUGAUGUUAAUGAUAAUGCACCAAUAUUUAGAAACCUGCCCUAUACACCUAAAGUUCCUGAGG